ACUCAAAUGAAUUGACGGGGGCCCGCACAAGCGGAGGAGCAUGUGGCUUAAUUCGAUGCAACGCGAAGAACCUUACCAGGGCUUGACAUGCAACUGCACGUCCCGUGAAAGCGGGAUUCCUUCGAGGGUGUUGCACAGGUGCUGCAUGGCUGUCGUCAGUUCGUGCCGUGAGGUGUUUGGUUAAGUCCCGCAACGAACGCAACCCUUGUGUUUAGUUGCCACCGUCGGUGAUGAGCCGGCGAGCACUCUAAACAGACUGCCCAUAUCAAGUGGGAGGAAGGUGGGGAUGACGUCAAGUCAGUAUGGCCUUUAUGUCCUGGGCUGCACACGUGCUACAAUGGCCGGUACAGAGGGACGCAAGACCGCGAGGUGGAGCUAAUCCUAAAAAACCGGUCCCAGUUCGGAUUGAAGUCUGCAAUUCGACUUCAUGAAGUUGGAUUCGCUAGUAAUGGCGCAUCAGCUACGGCGCCGUGAAUACGUUCCCGGGCCUUGCACACACCGCCCGU
rnacentral:rRNA from 1 species